CCAGGGACUCCGAGACAAGGCAAACGCCUCCAGAGAGCAAUUCCUCUCCCUUCUCUGAGGCACCAACACAGCGUGGACAAGUCACCCUUGGAGCGACCUGCCUGCCAGCAGCAGGAUGAGACCACCAGGAUAAGGCAGCCGGGCAGUGCGCAGGCAGGUGAUGAGCUGCAGCUCUGCCAGGUAGCAUUUCUGCUGGGAGAGCAGCAGGUCGGCCUGGGGACCGCUGCCUUGCACCCCGGAGAGCACUGGCAGCCCUGGAGGUCUGCAGCAGCUCGGUGGGAGCCGGUGCCGCUGCCCAGCUGGGAGCAGCUGUUUGGCUCUACCUCGCCUGCGCGCCUGGCCGGAGCUCCCGCUGCGCGGCUGCAGGCAGCCAGAGAGCAGCCGUUUCCCUAAAAAAGUGAUGGCAUGGCCCCGUUUGAUAUAAAGCAAACAAUGAUAUGGCGUUUCGCCAUGUCAGCCCGCUGAGCUCAGAACCGUGCUGAGCGCUGCAGAAGGAGGACGUCCUCUUGCACAAGCCUGGGUCCUGUUGCUGUCUCCCCACGCGUGGCUGCGAGUCCCAGGAAUCCCGGCUCCUGGGCCUCCCUGCCAACUUCUUUUCAUGCCGUGGCAGCAAUAUUAAGAAAGGAACCACUCCCUCUUGAGCAUGAGGAAAUCCUCCAGGACUGUGAGUCUGCUAACACAGAUAGGACUGGAGGAUUUAAGAGCAAAAACCCAAUUGCAUAGAUUGUUAUAUGACAUACGUGUCCAGAUGGUUAGGCUGGCUUAGCUUUAUUCUGGGAUUUGGAUCUGCUGAGCUACAGUAUAUGAUUUUGGCAUGUAUCUUGCUGGUUUUGCAUGCAGAUUUACCUGAUGAACUCUUGCUUUGUAAUCUCUGACAGCUAUUUCUCCAGUGCUUGAUGAGCUGCACUAUUUUAUUUUGAGGCCAUGGUGCUGCCUAGCAUGCAGUAUUCACCUCCACAGGCAUGCAAAAAGAGGCAGAAGCACAGGAGCAAAUGUAGUCUAAGAGAACUGAUAGCUGCAUUUGAUCUGAUUUGCCUAAAAUAACAGGCCACGGUUGAUAAAGGUAUUUCAAAAAGAACAAACAUAGAAAUGUAUCUGGCCCCACCUUGCCUGAAAUGGUUGUGUGUUUGGGCAUCAACAGCAGUGUUUACUGUGACGCUUAAGUGAUGCUUCUAAGGUGUUCUGGAUCAUCUUUCACGAUCCUAGGAUUCGGUAUUAUGUUAAUGGCUAAACUCAGUCCAUCCUGAAAAAAAAAAAAAACCUAUAACAAGAUCAGUGUUAUGAAGGGUAACUUUAGUAACAUUAUUUUUUGACGUGCACUUUUGCUCAGUGUAGACCAUAGCCACGGUCUCACUUAACAGAAGCAUUACACAAGAGCAAUUGGAUAAGAUUCCCAUCUGGUUUUUGGUCUCCCAUUGUAGCAAGUUUGGAAUCCUGGAGCUGAUUUUGUCUAGCAAAUGGCUACGUACUGUCUAGUCUUCCUGUACAACAGAAAAACAAAUGCAGGCCUCAGAAACUUUUUAUGGACAAGGAUGUCUACUUGCCAGACAUGCAUUAUGGACUUUCUCUCAAGAGGAGAUGCAAGGAGGUGGGAGCACUGUGAUGGGGGCUUUUCUCCCAGGGCUGGCUCAUGCAGAGCAUCCCAGCACACUUUCUGUGAAGCAAACAGGCUCCUGACGUCCUGUGUGCUAUGGGAGACCCUCUUCUGGAGCUGCGCAAUGGAUUAGCUGGCUUUGGGAGCUUCUUUCCAAGCCUCAUUUCUUAUUUAGUUUCCUAAGAGGAAAUGAGACUCCUAUUAUUUUGGUCUGAUGCUCUCAUCAGCAUGAAAAAUUACGAUGUGAAAAUAUUUGGUAAUGAUUUUCUUCUAAUUGAAACCAAGGGAAAAAAAAAAAAAAAAAAGAAGAAGAAGAAGAAGAAAUUGCAUCUCCAAGCUCUCCAGCUUUUUUCA